CCGGCCCUUUAGCUCAGCGGUCAGAGCAGCAGCCUUCUAAGCUGUAGGUACGAGGUUCAACUCCCCGGUGGCGGACCA
rnacentral:tRNA from 1 species